AGUUUGAUCAUGGCUCAGGACGAACGCUGGCGGCGCGCUUAACACAUGCAAGUCGAGCGAUAACCAUGGCUUCGGCUAUGGGGAGAGCGGCGAACGGGUGAGUAACACGUGAGUAAUCUGCCCUCGACACUGGGAUAGCCCGGGGAAACCCGGAUUAAUACCGGAUAGCCUCUCGAGCUCUCGGGCUCGUGAGAAAAGAUGGCUUCGGCUUUCGGUUGAGGAGGAGCUUGCGGCGGAUUAGCUUGUUGGUGAGGUAACGGCCCACCAAGGCGACGAUCCGUAGCUGGUCUGAGAGGACGAUCAGCCACACUGGGACUGAGACACGGCCCAGACUCCUACGGGAGGCAGCAGUGGGGAAUCUUGCGCAAUGGGCGAAAGACUGACGCAGCGACGCCGCGUGAGGGAAGAAGGCCUUCGGGUUGUAAACCUCUUUCAGGAGGGACGAAGCUACUCGGGUUAAUAGCCCAGAGGGUGACGGUACCUCCAGAAGAAGCCCCGGCUAACUACGUGCCAGCAGCCGCGGUAAUACGUAGGGGGCAAGCGUUGUCCGGAUUUAUUGGGCGUAAAGAGCGUGUAGGCGGCCAGAUAAGUCCGCUGUGAAAACUCGAAGCUCAACUUCGAGCUGUCGGUGGAAACUAUCUGGCUAGAGUCCGGAAGAGGAGAGUG
rnacentral:rRNA from 1 species